AUACGGAGGGUGCAAGCGUUAAUCGGAAUUACUGGGCGUAAAGCGCGCGUAGGCGGUUUGAUCAGUCGGAUGUGAAAUCCCUGGGCUCAACCUGGGAACUGCAUUCGAUACUGUCAGACUAGAAUAUGGUAGAGGGUAGUGGAAUUCCUGGUGUAGCGGUGAAAUGCGUAGAUAUCAGGAGGAACAUCAGUGGCGAAGGCGGCUACCUGGACCAAUAUUGACGCUGAGGUGCGAAAGCGUGGGGAGCAAACAGGAUUAGAAACCCGAGUAGUCC
rnacentral:rRNA from 1 species